rnacentral:rRNA from 1 species
UACGGUAGGCAUACGGGACAAUGGCCUCGGACCAGGCCGGGGGAGAUCCGGGGCGCGCGGCAUCAGAUGAACCCAUAUGGGAUUAGCUAGUAGGUGAGGUAACGGCUUACCUAGGCGACGAUCCCUAGCUGGUCUGAGAGGAUGAUCAGCCACACUGGGACUGAGACACGGCCCAGACUCCUACGGGAGGCAGCAGUGGGGAAUAUUGCACAAUGGGCGCAAGCCUGAUGCAGCCAUGCCGCGUGUAUGAAGAAGGCCUUCGGGUUGUAAAGUACUUUCAGUCGGGAGGAAGGUGGUAAGGU